rnacentral:rRNA from 1 species
UACGAAGGGGGCUAGCGUUGUUCGGAAUCACUGGGCGUAAAGCGCACGUAGGCGGAUUUGUAAGUUAGGGGUGAAAUCCCGGGGCUCAACCUCGGAACUGCCUUUGAUACUGCAAGUCUAGAGUCCGAGAGAGGUGAGUGGAAUUCCUAGUGUAGAGGUGAAAUUCGUAGAUAUUAGGAAGAACACCAGUGGCGAAGGCGGCUCACUGGCUCGGUACUGACGCUGAGGUGCGAAAGCGUGGGGAGCAAACAGGAUUAGAUACCCCCGUA